CUUCAAUCCCAUGGCUCACUCUCUCUGCCUCUGCCACCAGCCUGCUCAGGCUGCUGGGAACUACAGUGGGACAAGGAGCCUGGAGCCUACACGCACAUCAAAAUGGUCGCUUGGGUUGUCUUAACGAGUCUGAACAGUUUGCGCUUCAGGUUCUGGGGAUCCAAACUCUGGUCCUUAUAUUUGCACAGCAAAUGUUUUAUCCAUCACUUCUUCCUUUCACCUCGCACAAGGGCCAAGAAGAGCUGUGGGAAUGCAGGCAGCUCUGAAGGGAAGGUAAGAGCGCAGGGCAGAAAGGGGCACAAUAGCCCACUUUGGCCUAAGAAACUACAGGAUUGCAGCUCCAAAGGUGGGGCAAUGGGUCAGGUGAAGAGGAACACGGUGGCUCAGGAUACCUCCCUCCAAGCGUUCUAGAGGGUCCUCCCAUGAAGCUGAUGUUCCCUGAUUCUGCAACAGUGACUGGCCAGUAUGCCCCCCAGGGAUCCUCCUAUCUCUGCUAGGUGCACCCAGAACACAUGGGAUUUGGGGGAUCUAAACUCAGGUCUUCAUGCUUGCAUGUCAAACCUGUGACUGUCUCCGAGGCUUCGAGGAAAGGGUGUAUUUUAGAUUGGAUGCUGAACCGAGGGAGGGCUGCUUUGGUGGAGACAAUCUCAGGGUUCAGGUGUAGAAUCAUCCUAUAUGCUGCCGUCCUUUGCCUUCCUGCUUCUGGUAUGGCGGUCAGAAAGUGAAGUCGGGGAAACAUGCACAUGGCCUUUCCUCCCUCGCACACAGCUCUCUGCUUCCCCGUGUGCGCCUUCCACUGGUGGGACCCAAGCAGAAACCUGGAAGCAGACUGGAGAAUCCAUGGAGUUGACCUCUCAGUGAGGGAACAGGGAGAAUUCAAGUGAAAUAAAUGUCAAGUAAGGGCGAGGCAAGUGGAGGACAGGACACCCUAACCCCGCUAAAACAGGUAUCAGCGGGCAUCUCUGUGUGGUGCAAUGGCAAUGUGAGUUCCCAUGAGGAUUUGCACCUCUCAUUCGUCAUCCAUUGUUGGGAAGACAUAGAGCAGAUUUCUAGCAUCAACUCUGCAGGACUCUGGGACCAGGAGUUAUAGAACUUGCUCCUCCGAGCCAAACAGCCGCCAUCUUCAUUAGAUCUCGUGUGCCUGCGUGUAAGAGUCAUCACCACCAGGUCUGGAGACUACUGCCAUUAAUUCUGAAGAAGAGAACAGCGAGGGCCACAGGACCCUCACUUAAUUUCCAGCAUUCCCUCCUGGGCAUUUGCGAACCUUUCUGUUCUAACUGCUCGUGGCUCUAGGGUGUCUAGAGGAUGCUAGAGUAUACAAUCUGGAAAAGGUUAGGAGAAGAGGGCUCCUUCUACACAGCUAUGGGGGAGCCAUCAUUCCUUCCAGACACAGAUGUUCUGCUGUGUGGAGAAACCCCUCACCCAUACUCUGUAACUAAAGCGAGCCCGACAAACUUGUUUGUCACGUUGAGUUCGAUAGGCUCCUAUUUGGUUUGUCAUUAGGAGGACCAACCUUAGUGGGGUAGUAGACUUGGAGUCUCCCCGGGGAAGGAAUUCUCAAAACGCCAGGAUUGGCACACACACCUGAGACCUCCAUGGCUGGUUCUGCAUGAGAUGGGCGUGUCUACAACAAACCUAAGGUCCCCCUGGAUGACAGAUGGUCACCCAGGUCCCAUGGCAGUGCAUGUGAAAGUUUCCUAUGGCAGGUGAUUUUUCCGAGCACCAAGAUGAGAGGUCCCUUUCUGUGGGAAUCCUCAAUGACUCUUCUUGGAGAAGAUGUGGCCACAGAAUUUGUUUUUAGUGGUGUGGUGUAGCCUUCCCAGCUCCCCAAGGCGUCUGCCUCUGAAUUCUUCCUCCUGGUUCAAGUCUAUCAUGUCAACAAGCUUCUCCUGGGUUAGAUGCUCCCUCGAAGGCUUCCCAGGCCUCCCACCUGCAAAGAAAUGGGCUCUGUUUCCCUCUUCCCCCGCCCCCAGUUCUGCUGACAAAUGCAGGGAGAGAUAGGCUUAGCAGCGGACAGCACGUCAGCCAUUCUCAGGGGAUCCCCAGGCCUCUUGCAGACUGUCUUUUGACAGACAUGCCCCACCAAAUCCACUUUAAUUCAAGCUGACACGUUUUUUUUUCCCAUGGUGCUACUCAAAGCUGAUACAGUAC
ensembl:lncRNA